UCUCUCUCUCUCUCUCUCUCUCUAUAUAUAUAUAUAUAUAUAACAAUUUUGUAAUCCUUUGUAUUAUAGUUUGAUAUUAAUAAAAGAUGGCCUUUGUGUACUUAUAUAGAGCGAUCCUGUAUAGUUGAUCCUGUAAAAUUUGGUAUCAGAGCCAUCUGAAGACUUUCUACUUGAAGAUUAACGAAGAACAACUCUUUUAUCAAGGGUAAAAAUGAGCAAACGGCCGGAUAAAGCCCAAAAACAAGUGGUAAAACCCCCAACUCAAGGAGGAAGUAAAACUUCGUUUAAAUCUAUUACAAUGACUCCGGCAGACCAAGUUAAAAAACAAAAGAUCAAUGAAACCCCGCCUGCUGAGAGACUUCGUGAAGAUGCUUAUAAGCUAGCUAUUAAUGCAUCACAUCCAGGAGAAUAUAUUUUCCCAUAUAUCCCAAUCUCUACAAAUUGGGUAAUACCCAAAGAAAGCAAAUAUGCUCAUUUAAAAACUAAUGAGGUUUCUGCAUUUGAUUUUAAAAAAUUAUGUUGAUUCUUUUGUU